rnacentral:rRNA from 1 species
GACGAACGCUGGCGGAGUGCUUAACACAUGCAAGUCGAACGAGGUCCAUCCGAGCUUGCUCGGGGAAGACCUAGUGGCGAACGGGUGAGGAACACGUGAGAAACCUGCCUCGAAGUGGGGGACGAACAGUGGGAACCGACUGCUAAUACCCACUAGUCUUUUUCCUUUCGUCAUGUUGGUAAAAAGUAAAAGAAAGUAAUUACUACUUCGUAGAGGGUCGUCGCGGCGGUACCUACG